rnacentral:rRNA from 1 species
GACGAACGCUGGCGGCGCGCCUAACACAUGCAAGUCGAACGGAGCUGAGAGAAGCUUGCUUUUCUUAGCUUAGUGGCGAACGGGUGAGUAACGCGUGAGUAACCUGCCCUGGAGUGGGGGACAACAGUUGGAAACGACUGCUAAUACCGCAUAAGCCCACGAUCCGGCAUCGGAUUGAGGGAAAAGGAUUUAUUCGCUUCAGGAUGGACUCGCGUCCAAUUAGCUAGUUGGUGAGGUAACGGCCCACCAAGGCGACGAUUGGUAGCCGGACUGAGAGGGUGAACGGCCACAUUGGGACUGAGACACGGCCCAGACUCCUACGGGAGGCAGCAGUGGGGGAUAUUGCACAAUGGGGGAAACCCUGAUGCAGCGACGCCGCGUGGAGGAAGAAGGUUUUCGGAUUGUAAACUCCUGUCGUUAGGGACGAUAAUGACGGUACCUAACAAGAAAGCACCGGCUAACUACGUG